rnacentral:pre_miRNA from 3 species
UCUUAUGAUGAGCAAAGAAAGUGGUUUCUUGAGAUGGAAUUGACUUCUGGUGAAGAUGCUGUGAA